UUGGCCUCGUAGAUGCUCAUGGUCCGUUUGGUGGACUGAACAUAUACACCUGCAAUGCUAUUAGUUCCCUCCAAGUACUUGUGUACUGAGUCCAUUUCACUCACUUGGUUCACUGUGACUUUUCCUGUGUUGAGGUCUUCAUAGAGUUUCUUGUCAAUAAUUUUUGAGGCAAGCAGCUCGCCAGCGGUGACAUUCUUCCUGAUACCAUGGAAGCUUGUCUCUGUGGUUGUUGUGGUGAUGGUUGUUUUCUCUGACUUUGUCUCAGGUGGUGGUGUGCAUGUUGACACUGAAGAUGUUGUGGUUAUUGUGGUGGUAGUCUUUUGUUGAAUACUUGCUAGGAUAAUCUCCAUGAAGCGUUCAAUAGUGAUUGCUCCAGAUUUAUACUGCUGCACAAGCUCUCUCCUUCUCUCCUCUGUGAUGUAUUUUGAGUAGAGGAGAUCCCAUAGAGACACUUUCUGUCCUUGAAAUUUGCC